GCCCUACGGGAGGCAGCAGUAAGGGAUAUUGGUCAAUGGGGGAAACCCUGAACCAGCAACGCCGCGUGAGGGAAGACGGUUUUCGGAUUGUAAACCUCUGUCCUCUGUGAAGAUGAUGACGGUAGCAGAGGAGGAAGCUCCGGCUAACUACGUGCCAGCAGCCGCGGUAAUACGUAGGGGGCGAGCGUUAUCCGGAUUCACUGGGUGUAAAGGGAGCGUAGACGGCCAUGCAAGCCAGGGGUGAAAGCCCGGGGCCCAACCCCGGGACUGCCCUUGGAACUGCAUGGCUGGAGUGCGGGAGGGGC
rnacentral:rRNA from 1 species